rnacentral:rRNA from 1 species
CGACCGGCGCACGGGUGAGUAACGCGUAUCCAACCUUCCCAUUACUGUGGGAUAACCUGCCGAAAGGCAGACUAAUACCGCAUAGUCUUCGAUGACGGCAUCAGAUUUGAAGUAAAGAUUUAUCGGUAAUGGAUGGGGAUGCGUCUGAUUAGCUUGUUGGCGGGGUAACGGCCCACCAAGGCGACGAUCAGUAGGGGUUCUGAGAGGAAGGUCCCCCACAUUGGAACUGAGACACGGUCCAAACUCCUACGGGAGGCAGCAGUC